CUGAGAUGUUGAUUUGAAAAUGAUUCGUAGUUAAUUGUCAGUGGAAGUAAGGGGGAAAAAUGUUUUUUUAAGUACAAAUAAAAGUUAAGUUAGAAGCAACAUGCCAAUGUAUACUUAGAAGUGACUUCUAUUCUCUGUUCUUGCUGGAAUACUUUGUGCUUUACACUUAAAUGUGAAGUGUGAUCACUAAUAGGUUUGUUGCUUAAAUAAACAUAAUAGCGGUGUGAAGAUAUUGAAUGCUAUAGCUCAGCUUUGUCUCCUAUUUAAUGGUGACAUUAAUGCACCUGAGGUUACUAUGCCUCUUCAGUGAGGCACCACAAAUCACAGCGUGGCAGAAGGGAACGAAUUAUUUCCAGAGUUAAAACUGUGUCCCAGACCUUUCCUGAAAACAGGAUGUCAAGUACAGUCAUAGAAUCAUCACAAUGAUAAAGCUCAUCACGGGACUUAGAAUAACAAUGCAUUUAAGGGUGAAGCGUCUUAGAGCCCCAGAAAGUCUGAUUUUAAAGCUUGUUGCCAUUCAUCUAGGAUUUUUAAAAUCAUUUUACAUCACAUUUUGGCUUUUGAUCAGCAGCAUUUCAGAAUUAAACACAAGAGAAGUAAUUCAGGCCUUUCCAACUUCUCUCUCCAAACUGAUAUAAACGUCCCCUGUGGCAAUCAGCAAAGAGCCCUCCUAGAAUCAGGAUGUCUGCUCCCAGUUCAAGUCCUUGUGAGGAUUAUAAAGGAAAGAUGUGCUGUCAUUACAUCAGGCAUGGUUCAUGGAGAAAUACAGGAAAAUUCGGCCCACCCGUACAAGAUAUGGAAGCAUCAUGUCCAUGAGGAAUCAAGUAUGGACUUGAUUCUAAGCAGAUGGAGUCCUGAAUAUUUCAGAAUUUCUUCAACCACAUUGAUAAUGUCUCCCUGGGGUAAUGGCCUAAUAAGAGGAGUAGGUAGCACAUGAUUGGAAGUAAAGGGCAAAGAGCUGGAAACAGACAACAGCACUGACUAGUAACAGUUACUUACCUACAGUAAAUUAUUAUAAGCCACAGGAGAACUAUUAUUUUACAUUUACAUCUUCUGCGUCAGUUGGUGAACCCCUUGAGGCCAGGGACUAAUUCCUGGUAUGGUCCCAGCAUGAAGUAAACACUCUAAAAUGUUUUCCGAAGUUAUCUCUUUUUACAUAUGCUUUUCAUACCUCUUGAUGCAUUUUAAUGAGUUC
rnacentral:lncRNA from 1 species